rnacentral:lncRNA from 1 species
GAUUUUGCGGUCGGCAUCUUCGAAUGGCCAGUCCAUCUCAGACGGAUGACUCUUCCCAGAGUAGCUAUUCUGUGGACUAUGGAAUGAUCACUGGGAAGGACUAUCACAAUAUUCUCCUCUUGGAGAGUUAGUGUGAAGCUCCUCUAGAAUACUAUUAUGAUCCUGUUGUCUACGAGGCACAUUGACACUCAACCAGAUUUUAGAUAUCGAGAUGUAUUUCAUGCUUUAAUUAUAUUAAAAUCAACUGAAUUUAUUGUAUUAUAUGUAUUUUUACUUGUAAAUAUAUUGGUUGGUCUAUUCCAAUUGCAUUCAUGAUAAAAAGACAUCAAAACAAGGUUAAAAUUACAAAAUAGAUAGCAAUCCCAAUCAAAUUUCUAAGUACAACUCAAAAAAAAAA